rnacentral:rRNA from 1 species
AUUGAACGCUGUCGGCAGGCUUAACACUUGCACGUCGAGCGAGCGGCGGACGGGUGAGUAAUGUCUGGGAAACUGCCUGAUGGAGGGGGAUAACUACUGGAAACGGUAGCUAAUACUGCAUCCCAUCAGAUGUUCCCAGAUGGGUUUAGCGAGUAGGUGGGGUAAUGGCUCACCUAGUCGUCGAUCCCUAGCUGGUCUGAGAGGAUGACCAGCCACACUGGAACUGAGACACGGUCCAGACUCCUACGGGAGGCAGCAGUGGGGAAUAUUGCACAAUGGGCGCAAGCCUGAUGCAGCCAUGCCGCGUGUGUGAAGAAGGCCUUCGGGUUGUAAAGCACUUUCAGCGAGGAGGCGUUACUCGCAGAAGAAGCACCGGCAAACUCCGUGCCAGCAGCCGCGGUAAUAC